AUUGAACGCUGGCGGCAUGCCUUACACAUGCAAGUCGAACGGUAACGGGCCUUCGGGUGCCGACGAGUGGCGAACGGGUGAGUAAUGCAUCGGAACGUACCUUUCAGUGGGGGAUAACGUAGCGAAAGUUACGCUAAUACCGCAUAUUCUGUGCGCAGGAAAGCAGGGGAUCGCAAGACCUUGCGCUGAUUGAGCGGCCGAUGUCAGAUUAGCUAGUUGGUGAGGUAAAGGCUCACCAAGGCGACGAUCUGUAGCGGGUCUGAGAGGAUGAUCCGCCACACUGGAACUGAGACACGGUCCAGAUUCCUACGGGAGGCAGCAGUGGGGAAUUUUGGACAAUGGGGGCGAACCCUGAUCCAGCCAUGCCG
rnacentral:rRNA from 1 species